rfam:Asian citrus Psyllid, Diaphorina citri - Florida Strain, whole genome shotgun sequence.
GCCUAGUUAGCUUAGUUGGUAGUGCGUCUGCCUUGUAAGCGCUAGGUUGCGGGUUCGAUUCCCGCCCGGGGCG